AUUGAACGCUGGCGGCAUGCCUUACACAUGCAAGUCGAACGGUAACAGGUCUUCGGAUGCUGACGAGUGGCGAACGGGUGAGUAAUACAUCGGAACGUGCCUAGUAGUGGGGGAUAACUACUCGAAAGAGUGGCUAAUACCGCAUGAGAUCUACGGAUGAAAGCAGGGGAUCGCAAGACCUUGUGCUACUAGAGCGGCCGAUGGCAGAUUAGGUAGUUGGUGGGAUAAAAGCUUACCAAGCCGACGAUCUGUAGCUGGUCUGAGAGGACGAUCAGCCACACUGGGACUGAGAAACGGCCCAGACUCCUACGGGAGGCAGCAGUGGGGAAUUUUGGACAAUGGGCGCAAGCCUGAUCCAGCAGUGCCGCGUGCAGGAUGAGGGCCUUCGGGUUGUAAACUGCUUUUGUACGGAACGAAAAGCCCCGGGUUAAUACCCUGGGGUCAUGACGGUACCGUAAGAAUAAGCACCGGCUAACUACGUGCCAGCCGCCGCGGUAA
rnacentral:rRNA from 1 species